AAAGUCGUAACAAGGUCUCCGUAGGUGAACCUGCGGAGGGAUCAUUCACAUGAUAACUUUUUAAUAUAAAAACAACCUGUGAACUUUAAAAUUUUACUAUUCGUGUAUGAUCUCUUUUUUUUUUCAAAAGAGUAUUAUUACAUUGUCAUUCGAUUUGAACAUAAGAUAGUUGGCUUGAUUAUUUUUUAAUCUUUCUCAGCUUUGAUUUUGUAUUUUACUAAACAUUUUAUACAAAUCAUCCAUAAAACAUAGAAACAACUCUAUGCCCUGGAUAUCUUGGUUCUC
rnacentral:misc_RNA from 1 species